GAUCCUGGGCUCAGGAUGAACGCUAGCUACAGGCUUAACACAUGCAAGUCGAGGGGCAUCAGUUUGGUUUGCUUGCAAACCAAAGCUGGCGACCGGCGCACGGGUGAGUAACACGUAUCCAACCUGCCUCAUACUCGGGGAUAGCCUUUCGAAAGAAAGAUUAAUAUCCGAUAGCAUAUAUUUCCCGCAUGGGUUUUAUAUUAAAGAAAUUCGGUAUGAGAUGGGGAUGCGUUCCAUUAGUUUGUUGGGGGGGG
rnacentral:rRNA from 1 species